rnacentral:lncRNA from 1 species
UGUAAACCGAGAGAAAAAAAACUUCAAUCAAGGAUAAACAAUUUGGAUGUUUGCCUUGUAUGAUGGCAAUGAAUCACAUCGGGUAUCCAAAUCCGAAGAACAAACAGCAAGAUCUCAAAAAGUGUUUAUCAUGAUUUUAAAACUUGUUUUAUUCAUAUUUUGAGGUUCGAUUUUUCCAAACUUACAUGUCAGCUCAAAGAC